rnacentral:tRNA from 1 species
GCGGAAGUAGCUCAGUUGGUAGAGCACGACCUUGCCAAGGUCGGGGUCGCGAGUUCGAGUCUCGUUUUCCGCUC